CUCCAAUCUGGGGAAAAAUAAGGCAUGGCCAUGGAUGGCGGCUUCACAGAGGAGUUGGCCAUCGGGUGCUUGGUCUCCAUCAAGACCACGCUAAGCGACGAGUUCCAAGGCCAAGUCAUCACCUUCGAUCGCCCCUCCAACAUCGUCGUCAUUCAAGAGGGUUUGAAAGGCGGUGCGCGGCGGAACAUACGGCUGCUGAAGGCCAACUAUAUAAAGGAGCUGUUGUACUUGGGUCAGGCGGAAGACCCACUUGAUAUCAAAAAGUGUUACCUUGAUCUCAAUAGUCUGCGAGCCAGGGAGGAACUGGCGAUUAGACAAGCGGAGGCAGAGUCGGAGAGGAUAGGCGUUGGGGUCACUGGCCAGGCGCAGAAAAUUUUCGAUGCCUUGUCUAAGACGCUUCCAGUGCGCUGGGACAAGACUGUUAUAGUUGUGAUGAAUGAGGUCCGUGUAAGCAGUCCAUAUACUCCCGAGUCUGUCAGUGGAGGAACUCCUGCUGCCAAUGAGCGGGUGAAGAAAGUGCUUGAGCUGGAGAGGAGGAGGUUGCAAACUCGUGGUGGUGGUCAAUGAUGGUUUCAUGUUUGCACCUGAUUGCCUGAUACGGAAAGACUUUUCCCUCGAGGCAUAACUCAUGAUGGGGGCGUGAGGGUUGCUGCCUCUGUUUUGAGGGAAUGGGCGGAAGGCGACAGAAGGCGUCGUUGGAGCCGCCUAGGCGGUGGAGGUGCGCCUCAGGACUUUCAGGCGUCUCUGUUUGGCUGCUUUUAUUUUUUUUUAUUUUUUUAUUUUUUUAUUUUUUAUUUUUUAACUCCCAAACCCAAAUUUUGGGUAGGGUUUUAACUGCCACAUAUAUCUUCCUUGCACUAUUGUCUCUCUGCCCUUUUUUCUUUUCUUUUUUUAUUUUAUUUUUUUACUUUUUAUUUUUUAUUUUUUAUAAUGGAUGUAUGUGUUUGUCUGCGUGCAUUGUUGUAUGUGUGUUCAUUGUGCUUUUUAUCCUCUA